UAUUCUUAGAUAGCUCAUUGAAACCCUUAUGCGGUAAAACCACCUCGCAAAAAUCGCUCACAAUCGUUCUCACUCUCACUCUCACUCUCAUACUAUGAAACCACAUCUCGCUCUUCCUCAAUCAUCUCUUAUUCCGCCUCUCUGAUCUCUCGCUCCGCCUCAUCGAUCUCACAGUUUGCAAAUCGAAACCACAAUCGCAUGUUUUCACUGUCACUCUAGCUCACGUUGUCUCGCCUCUGGUUCAUUCUCUCAUCACUUGCGUUGUCGCUUGCACCAUCGUCUUCUCGAUACGUCGUUGUCUUCUCGCCGGUUCCAUCCUUUGCUCGUCCCACGGUCCGAUAGGAAGGCUAAAGCUCACACUGACUGGACACAUCGAGCAAAUAAGAGGCCUUGCUGUCAGCAGCAAACAUACUUACAUGUUCUCUACUGGUGAUGAUAAACAAGUUAAAUGUUGGGAUCUUUAAUAGAAUGAGGUGUUGGUCACAAGAGGCAUGGAGGUUUAUUUGGACAAGGCUUAGCUACUAUUGUUGUUGUUUACUAUACAAAUGCUGUAAGUGGUCUAAGUUUUUAUUUUUGCUAGUUGUUGCAUUUAGAAGUUAGAAUCAUCACUAAAUGCCUAUAAUACAUACUUGUCAGGAAAAAUCUACAUUAGUUAGUGAACUAUCAAACGGUGAUCUCUACAUUGUUUGUCAAUAAAUAUAGUAACUCUUUUCUUA